rnacentral:lncRNA from 1 species
UUAAUCUCUUCUUUUCGAUUGGAUUCGCUUGGUCGUAAUGACUCUGAAUCCAUUCAGCAUCGGUCAACUUGGGACUUUGAGGGUGCUAUUUCUCUUUUGUUUCUUUCUUUCUUUUUUCUUUUGAUUUGAUUUCUUUUGAUUUUGCACCCUCCUCUUUUCCUUUUUCUUUUUUUUUUGUUUUUUUUUUGUUUUUUUUUAAAUGCCCCAGUUGUCUGUUCUGCUGAUUCUCGAGAUGCAGUUGAGUGAUCUUCUUUUCUUGCUCAAGAAGUCGGGAAAUCUCGUCAGGAAUCCCUUCAACAUCAUCUUC